UAUAGAGACAUUGUGAAGUUUCGCUAAAACCGAUAUCGAUAGUUUUCAAAAACUAUCCAUAGUGGCGACAGUUUUCAACUAUCGAUAGUAUCCCAGCUCU